UGUCAGCAGCCGCGGUAAUACUGAAGGUGCAAGCGUUAAUCGGAAUCACUGGGCGUAAAGCGCUCGUAGGUGGCUUUGUAAGUCAGAUGUGAAAGCCCACGGCUCAACCGUGGAAUUGCAUUUGAUACUGCAUCGCUAGAAUAUGGGAGAGGUAGAUGGAAUUUCUGGUGUAGGGGUAAAAUCCGUAGAGAUCAGAAGGAAUACCGGUGGCGAAGGCGACUUCCUGGACUAUUACUGACACUGAGGAGCGAAAGCGUGGGGAGCAAACAGGAUUAGAUA
rnacentral:rRNA from 1 species